ensembl:lncRNA
GGAGGGUCCAAAAGCCCUGGCUCUUGAGGCUGACAGAUAUAUAUCUCAAACUGAAGCUCUCAAAGCUUUCUGGAACAAAAGAGCCAGCACAGAGGAGGAAAAUAAUCACCGCACGUGAGCAAGCAGCAAAUGAGGACUUUGAACCAGAGAUAAAAAUGUAGAAAUGAACACUUGGGCAAUGGAGGUACUAUGAGACAUAGGAGCUCAGAAGAGGACACAUGGUGAACCUAAUUUCCCCAGACGGAUCUAGCAGAGCCACAGCCCAGCAGUGUGGGCAGCGCUGACUACCUCGAAGGUAAAGAAGAGACUAACAUGAGCUCCUAGCAGAUUCACAAAGAAAAUGCAGUCCAUAUUUCAGUCCUCAUGAAGUACCUAAAAUCCGCACCUUAAAUCGCUUUUCUAAAUGUGGUGGCCCAGAUAACCCUUUCUGAAGGCUUUAUCUUGGAGGCUGUGGCUUAGCUGCCUGGCACAGCUUAGAGCAGGAAGAGAGAUUCACUGGUCCUUUUCUGUCAAAGCAAUUGCAGGCCUUUUGCUUCCUAAUGUAAAUCUGUAAGGACCAUAUUGCUCACAAGAGGUCACCCCCACUGCCAAGAGUCAUGUCAGCACACACUAACUACAGGCUAGGGCAGAGAGCACUCCUUCCCCAGUAGAUGCAAGAAGAUCACACUGACCUGCUGUCAUCUCAAGCCCUUGCACACAAGCAAGAAGUCUCUGGAACAGCCCCCUUGGGAAUCACAUCUCCAAGUUCACAUGUAGGUGCAUGCCCUGAACCCACCCUUGUGUUUAGCUUCUCCUGUGCAAGGGCUGUAGAAUGGACAAAGCAAAUGAUGAAGAUGUCGUCCACUUUCCCAAUUCUGUCCUGGGUCUCGUGCCCAAUGGCAGAGGAGGAGAGCAAAAAGGAGCUUGCAUCAUAGUUCGGGAUCUGGGUGCAGCAGACAACAGUUCAGGACUCAAUUCAGAAGACGUGGCUUGCCAUUACUAUCAGUGCAUGUCCAUACUGCAUCAGUCCACAGGUUCAGCAAAAUCACAGCAGCAUACAGCUCUGGUCACACUGCAGUGAAUCAGACUAUGGAUGUCCAGGUGAAGGCUUUGGAGCAUCACAAUCACGUAUCUCCUCCUAUAAGGGUUGCAGCUAAGAAAAGCUGAUUCUGAAUGAAAUUCAGAGAGGCUCAAUCCUCUAAUUCCCUGAAGAGAACACAAAAGCAGAAAGCAAGACCAGGAUUGCAUUGGUAUAUUGGCUGAUGGGUACAAAAUCUUCUGACAUGUCGUUUGCUCAGCCCUGAUUGGAAAAUAUCUUUAAUUAAAACACCACAUCAGAAUCCUGAACCAAUUUCAUCCCAGCUCUGCUAAGUGCUUUGUACAAAACAUUAACUCUAAAAUCUCAUUACACAUUAGCAAUCCCUGUGACAAACAUAAAUGAUAAUUUAGCUCUAAUGCAUUCUGGAGCAAGCCAUUUUUAAGAGAGGCGAAUGAUAUCAGCUUGCUAGGAGAAGGGGAAGAGUUGAAUUUAUCUGUCUCUUUAUUUUUUAAACAAAUGGCUCUAGCUGGUUCAGCAAUGGGCUGUACAAAUCAUUGCAGUGUGUAGCACUGACAGUAUACAGCAGCUGUUUAGCCAGAACCUGGCACUCCUGCCUGGGCUGAGUUUUGCAAUCCCAUCAGCAGGGCUAAGUUCACAGGCCUUCAUAAGCAUUCAGGGAAGAGAAAAGGCAAUGGGGAAGGUUGGAUGGGAAAGGUGGGGUGUUGAUUUGACAGGACAGUGGUGGGGAGGAGCAGUACCUGGAGAUCCCUGGUAAUCUGAGUUUAUUCCAAACCACAGGUAGAGGGGACAAGGAAGAGGCUGACUUCCUGCAGUCAUUUCAGCUGCUUUCAUAGACAGCAAGGCUGGCAAAAGGAUGAGAUGUACAGUGAUUUUGU